UACGAAGGGGGGCUAGCGUUGCUCGGAAUCACUGGGCGUAAAGCGCACGUAGGCGGCUUUUUAAGUCAGGGGGUGAAAUCCUGGAGCUCAACUCCAGAACUGCCUUUGAUACUGGCGAUCUCGAGUCCGGGAGAGGUGAGUGGAACUGCGAGUGUAGAGGUGAAAUUCGUAGAUAUUCGCAAGAACACCAGUGGCGAAGGCGGCUCACUGGCCCGGUACUGACGCUGAGGUGCGAAAGCGUGGGGAGCAAACAGG
rnacentral:rRNA from 1 species